rnacentral:other from 1 species
CAUCCCCUGCGGUGUUCGAAACGGGCUCGGAAAUCCCUUUGAGCCUUAAAUUUGUCGCCUGGGUGCGCGAUAUGGCGACGCUGGUGUGCAUGUCCACUACGGUGGAAAGCCUGAAGCAGUCCCGAGCGCUCCCACUUGAACCGUUGGUUCGAGGGCGGUAGCCCGUUACGGCACAGGCGGGGGGUGU